rfam:Myotis lucifugus cont2.6469, whole genome shotgun sequence.
GGAUGUGAGGGCGAUCUGGCUGCGACAUCUGUCACCCCAUUGAUCGCCAGGGUUGAUUCGGCUGAUCUGGCUGGCUAGGCGGGUGUCCCCCUCCUCCCUCACCGAGUGUCCCCCUCCUCCCUCACCAAUCCACAUGCAUCCCUCCCGAAGCUGUGUGCUGGGUCGAAAAGGAUGACCUUCCCCCCAGAGGAGAGGACCGGUCUUUGGUCAAGGAUAUACGAGUAGCUGCGCUCCCCUGCAAGAACCUCCAAACAAGCUCUCAAAGUACCUUAAACAAUGCUUAGCACGUAACAGGCACUCAUUAAAUACAUUUGAAAUGAAUUAAAGU